rnacentral:rRNA from 1 species
GAUGAACGCUGGCGGCGUGCCUAAUACAUGCAAGUCGAGCGAACGGACGAGGAGCUUGCUUCUCUGAUGUUAGCGGCGGACGGGUGAGUAACACGUGGAUAACCUACCUAUAAGACUGGGAUAACUUCGGGAAACCGGAGCUAAUACCGGAUGAUAUUUUGAACCGCAUGGUUCAAAAGUGAAAUACGGUCUUGCUGUCACUUAUAGAUGGAUCCGCGCUGCAUUAGCUAGUUGGUAAGGUAACGGCUUACCAAGGCAACGAUGCAUAGCCGACCUGAGAGGGUGAUCGGCCACACUGGAACUGAGACACGGUCCAGACUCCUACGGGAGGCAGCAGUAGGGAAUCUUCCGCAAUGGGCGAAAGCCUGACGUAGCAACGCCGCGUGAGUGAUGAAGGUCUUCGGAUCGUAAAACUCUGUUAUUAGGGAAGAACAUAUGUGUAAGUAACUGUGCACAUCUUGACGGUACCUAAUCAGAAAGCCACGGCUAACUACGUG